ensembl:lncRNA
GGCCCCAAACACACCAACACCGGUUUACUUGCAGCGGGAGCUGAGAAAUACCUGUGAACUGAAUUCCAAACAGCUGGAGUCCGGGCCAGCGAUCAGCCUGUUGGGGGGACUUUAGGCCCGUUCCCUUUCCCUGACAAGAAGCCCAGUCCUCUUCUCUGCCUAGGGCCCAGAUGCAGGGCUCCUACCUGAGACGGGAGCCGCCUAGCUGCAGGCUGAAAAGAGAAAGAAAGUCAAAGUCGCUCGGUCCCUUCCGACUCUUUGCCACCCCAUGGACUAUACAGUCCAUGGAUUCCCCAGACCAGAAUACUGACUGGGCAGCUGUUCCCUUCUCCAGAGGAUCUUCCCAACCCAGGGAUCGAACCUAGGUCUCUCUCAUUGCAGGCGGAUUCUUUACCAGCUGAGCCACAAGGGAAAACCCAGUGGCAGGCACAAGGGCCUCCAUUACUCCGCCCCUGCAACCCGAUGUGGUAAGUAGACCCGGGAACAAAAUAGCUAUCAUUCUUCCUCCUGACACAUGAGUAGACAGGCUAGGAGCAGCCAAGCUAUUUCUCUAGGUUACAGAGCUAGUUCCUGUGUUCCAACCAUCACCCCAGGCUUGGUGCCCCCAAGGCCCUCUGGACUUGGGGGAUGAGGGCGCCCCCUGGAGGCUUCUCCUGGGAGUGCAGUGUCAGUUCAGCCGCUCAGUUGUGUCAGACUCUUCACGACCCCGUGAACUGCAGCAUGCCAGGCCUCCCUGUCCUUCACCAACUCCCGGAGCUUGCUCUAACUCAUGUCCAUCCCGUCGGUAGGAGGGAGAAAACCUGGCAUUGGGAGCUCCCUCCCCAGGGUCAGGGUACUGCACUGAGAAAUCCAAGGACUGGUGGUGGAGACGCAGGGUACCUGGGAAGAGGACGGACGGGGUGUGACGAUCUGGGCUUCCUCCAGGCUCGGUCCUCUGCUCCAGUGCACCAAAGGGAGCGAGCCCUCUGUCUUUGGUUGCCCCUCCAUGGUUCCACUUUGUACUUCUAUGACCCAGCACUGCCUGGUCAAGGUGGAUUCUUCACCAGCUGAGCCAUCAGGAAAGCCCUGCUCUCCAUAUUAUAGAGGUUUUGUCUGAGAAACAGAUCUUCACGUCAUCUGCCUAAACCCUUCUAUGGCUUCCGAUGGCCCUCAGGAUGAAGCUCUGUUCCCUUAGGCUGCCCGCUCACUAGGCCUUCUUGUUUUGCCCUCCUACGGCCUCAGCCUCGUCCCUGGUGUUUCUCUCCCCUUUACUGUCAGCCCUUUCAUCUCUCGCACUUCUCGCCUGUGACACUCCUUCACACCCCCGUGCCUCUGCAC